GCGUAAAACUCACACAGAACGCCGUAUUUUACGCCGUUCUUUUCUAUAAAAGGCGUCUGGUCCAGGCGUUUUUUGGGCCUUUUGGCGUUUCAUAGGAGGAAGGGUGUGCGGCGUCUACGUAUAUCUGUGCACCCACCCACUGACUCAUACUCACGAGUUCCCAGCUGCAGUCUGCAGUGCCCACUCAGCGCAACGCAUCUGUCUCCUCAGAGAUUAAUAUUAAAUUAAAUACGAAAGCUGUUAGUUUUAGGAUGUUGGUGUUUAAGCUGAGAGCCGCAGACAGGAUUCUGCGCUUCCUUUUCCUUUAUUUCCUCCUCCUCCUCCUUUUCUCGCUGGAGCCACUGGUAGCUGAGCUCAAUAACUCCUGUAUUGUGAAGUGGCAUCCAAACGGCACCAUAUACACCCUUACAGAGCAUGUGGUUUCGGGUGAAGACUUCAGUUGGCUUGUUGACGACAUUGUCAAGGCAAACGAAGACAAUCUGGACCCCACAAUGGUUCACAGUCGAGGACCGCGCUUCAUUGUGCUCUAUUCCUGUCAGACACUUUUGUCGUACAGGAGCACGUUCAGUGUGAUUCCCUGGAACUGUUUCACAUCCUGUCCCAUCACACCUGCACCUAAAGAUGCUGGGAAUCUCCGUGCUGUAAUCGCUGGCUGUAGCGCUGCUGGUGUAGUCGUACUCUGUGCUCUUGUGCUGCUCGGGGUGCUCUGGUGGAAGAAGGAUAGACUGAAAAGAUAUUUCCAUCCGGAGACUGCUGCCGUUCCUACAUGUGCCUACAGCGCAGCAGAGUCCGGAGUUUCUUCACCAAGUUAAGGACAUGUCCUUCAAAUGUCUUCAAAUGUAAUGAACCUCUCUAGAGUUGUGUGGUAUUUACAGUUUUUCUCGACCAGCAUCACUCCGCACCGUAUACAAGGGAUGUGGCGUAGCACAAGUUGAUUCCAUGCAUCUCAUUGUGCAUUACUAUUCAAACUUAAAAAAUAUCCUUAAAGGUCAUUCCAGUUGUGGUCUCUAGUAUGAAUGAAUGCAAUGUGAGCAGUUUUUUGUGAAAAAAGUGAUCUCUGAAAAAAGACAGGAUUUAGGCUCCUGCUCAUGAAUAUUCACACAUGCAAAAAUAUUGCCUCAGAUUGGCGUACAGCACUGCAGCAGAGAAUGCCUACCUACCUGUCUUUACCCCACAGUACAUUUUACAGCUCUUAAACUCAAAGGACUAAAUGUUUUCAGAGAUACAGCCUUAGUUAUAAAGGUAUAUACAGCACUGAGUGCCUAAAGAUAACGCCACACCCCCCACACCCCGCUACGUGCAACACUGCUCUCCCCGUGGCAUUGAUAACGUUUCUUUCAGCUAAAUCGUUCAGCUAAAUCAGCGCCUGCUUUGACCGGUGUUCUGUCGAGUUGAGCUACCUUGACAAACCGUGCUCUCAUAGUGUUUAUUUAAAGUCUCGGUGAAACAAAGAAUCAACCGGAGAUCCAAUUUGAACCUAUAGUUACUUACGAUAGUUAACUAAUGUUAAUUAUCUGGUGGAUUGCUAUUUUAACAGUGCAGCUACCUGCUUCUCAGCGGAUGAAACUGACCAGCCCUGAAACUGUCUAAUUCGUUACUCCCAUCACUGAUACUAAUUCACAGGAUGAUGUAGACACAGUGCUUUUCCUGAUAGACUGUUUUUUCUGAAUAUUUUAUUUUACUAGCUGUUGCAGACAGUGAGGAAGAGCAGCAUCAUAAACAACUCAGAGAUCUGCUGUAUUUCACAAACAACAAGAACAAGUGGAUUUUAGUGGAAGGAGAACUUUAUACUUUGUUAUAUUAUGCUGUAAAACAGGGUUCGGUAUCGUUUGGGUGUCAAGAUUGUAUUUAUUGUGUAUUUAUACGAAGAGUACUUUAUUUUCUAUGUUAUUUAUAUAUUAAUGUGUUUGUCUCAUCUUAAAUAGUGCACAGAUUAAGAUGUUAAAGGCCGAUAACAUAUUUUAUUCAUCCUACUUUUCAGUCCUGAGCAUUACAAAAUCCACACAUAGAAAAGUACUCUAAUUUGCCCUAAAAAACUGUGAACUCUGAACUGUGACCUGGCUUAGACUGUUCCAUACCUUUUACAUUUGAUUUGUAGGGGGUUAAAACUAUAACUAAAGCACACAACAAAAAUGAUUGUUCUUUUUUGAACACAAACCAAUCAAUUGAGAUUUUCUCUGGCAGCUUUUACAUAAAGAUUUACAAACCAAUUUGUUAAAUCAAAUUAAUUCUCCAAGCAGUAAGUAAAAUAAAUGUACUGUACGAUGUGCUGCGUAGUAAUUU
ensembl:lncRNA